UACGUAGGGAGCAAGCGUUGUCCGGAAUCAUUGGGCGUAAAGCGCGCGUAGGUGGCCUCAUAAGUCCGCUGUGAAAGUCAAAGGCUCAACCUUUGAAAGCCGGUGGAUACUGUGAGGCUAGAGUACGGAAGAGGCGAGUGGAAUUCCUGGUGUAGCGGUGGAAUGCGCAGAUAUCAGGAGGAACACCAACGGCGAAGGCAGCUCGCUGGGACGGUACUGACGCUAAGGCGCGAAAGCGUGGGGAGCAAACAGG
rnacentral:rRNA from 1 species